rnacentral:rRNA from 1 species
AUACGGAGGACGCGAGCGUUAUCCGGAUUCAUUGGGUUUAAAGGGUGCGCAGGCGGCCGUGCAAGUCAGCGGUGAAAGCCCGGGGCUCAACCCCGGAAGUGCCGUUGAUACUGCAUGGCUGGAAUGCGGUCGAGGCGGGCGGAACGGGGCGGGUAGCGGUGAAAUGCGUAGAUAUGCCACAGAACGCCGAUAGCGGAGGCAGCUCGCCAGGCCUGCAUUGACGCUCGGGCACGAAAGCGUGGGGAUCGAACAGGAUUAGAUACCCUGGUAGUCCACGCAGUAAACGAUGAUUACUAGCUGUUUGCGAUACACAGUAAGCGGCACAGCGAAAGCGUUAAGUAAUCCACCUGGGGAGUACGCCGGCAACGGUGAAACUCAAAGGAAUUGACGGGG